UACGAAGGGGGCUAGCGUUGCUCGGAUUUACUGGGCGUAAAGGGCGCGUAGGCGGACAGUUUAGUCAGAGGUGAAAGCCCAGGGCUCAACCUUGGAAUUGCCUUUGAUACUGGCUGUCUUGAGUACGGGAGAGGUGAGUGGAACUCCGAGUGUAGAGGUGAAAUUCGUAGAUAUUCGGAAGAACACCAGUGGCGAAGGCGACUCACUGGCCCGUUACUGACGCUGAGGCGCGAAAGCGUGGGGAGCAAACAGGG
rnacentral:rRNA from 1 species